CAUGAACCUGGCAUACAAUGUAGAAUUCUGUGUUUAUUAAGUAACAGCUACAUUGUCUGCUGGGUUUCAG
rnacentral:pre_miRNA from 15 species